rnacentral:lncRNA from 1 species
GUGAACUUGUGGUGGGCAUUGUUUCUUGGACUGUGGAGCACAUGGAUCCUUAGUUUGGGGUAUAAACGACAGGGGGUUGCUGACAGGUUUGCUUCACUUGCUGCUGCUGGGCUUUCUGGGGCAGGUGCUCUCUCCACUGCUGCUGCAGGAACAGGGGAGCCUAAAAGAAACCUAGGCAGUGGACACCAUGAGAAGUGUUCCCUCCACCAUCCCUACCUUCUGACUUCUAAAGCAAUGUUUCCUUACAAUGGCCAAGGACAUGAUAAGUGAUUAAUUGCCUCUAAUUGGUCAGUGAAUUGACUCACAUGCACCCAUUGUGAUCCUCUCCCUUUCAUUCUUCUUCUAUGCUAUUCUGACUUCAUUUCCUGUCUUCCUUCAUCCUCCCAUAGACUCCUGAUUUAACUGAAUAUAUAAUUGAUUUCUCAGUCUGCCCAGGAAACAAGAUGAAAUGCUGAGUUGAGGAUAAAAAGAUAGCGCAAACAUUUUAUAAGAUUGAGGCAUGAAGUCUUGGUUGAUGGGUGUGCAAUGUCAACUGGCUGCCUUGAGUAGUGCAGACAGAAGCUUUCCCUUGAGCACGAAGGACAAGAAUACAAAUGGUCACCCACAGGCUCACUGCCCCUGACCUGCCCCACCUCCCAGGAAUCGGCUGCUGGGCCAACCAGGAAACCAGGCUCUGCAUCUUGCCUCCCUAGGGAACAGACACCUGAGAGCAGGCAAAAAUCUAAGGACCUCAGAAGGGACUCUUCUCACCCCAACAGCCUCCUAAGCUGGAUCAUGUUAUCCUCAGAAGGAGGGAUCAUCUACUUCUGGAGUCAGUGCCUUUCCAAGUUUCCCUUGCUGGCUCAAGAUGGUGGUGUGGUUUGACGACGACAAAACGAUGCCCUGAUCAUACAGAACAGACUUUUUGUGGUGGAUUCAGCUACCUCAAGAGUGUAUAUACAGGAACAACUGGGCGGCUCAGUUGGCUAAAUGUCUGACUCUUGAUCUCAAAGUUGUGAGUUUAAGCCCCAUGUUGGGCAUCACAAAGUAUUACGCAGUACUGCUUCUACCACCAGGGGACAGGAAAAGGAAUGGGUAAUCUAGAAGCCACUAAUAAAACUAAACGCUUAUCUGAG